ensembl:lncRNA
CUGGGAACUGGCAGAGCAGGGAGAGCUCAGGGCGUGCAGAGCUCGGGGCAGGAGCAGUGGUGCCUUGGCAGGGCUGAGGCAGCCCCUGCUGCCACCAGAGCUGUGUUUCACUGCCCAAAGCUUCCUCUGCAACCCCCUGUCCUCACCCUGCAUCUUCCACCUGCUUUUCCAUCAGCACUGCCUGCAGAAUGCCUGGAUGGGAGGGCGUCAGCAGUGGAAGGAUGUGGAGCAACAGGAGGAACGGUCGGGUGGCUUUGAACAGGGCUACGUGGCCAGAAAGGCUGAAUCAAAGAACAUUUAUAGGCUUCAUUCUUAUCUGGUGCUCUGCCACCUCCAUCAAAUAAUGCCAGAGCAGCACUGCAGCAGUUGCUGUUGAGAUCAGAAUCUGCAUAUAGAUAUUGAGUCUCCCAAGUUCUAAAAGUACUGUUACAUUUGAAGUCAAAGAGAAAAGAGAGAACAAAUAACAUAAUUUACUGCUGCAGAUUAUUUUUAUGCCUGUGUGCUCCACUUAAGAGAAUACUCUGUAAAUGACUUAUUAUCAAGAAAAGUUAUUUGUUUGCACUAAUCAAGCCUUAAACUUGGAGGCAUAAUACGGAACUAAUUAUUUUUAACUAACUAAUCAACAUGUUUCAUUCAUAAGUUGGGAUUUAUCAAUAUAGCACAUGAAAGGAGAGAACAUAUUAUUAUUUCAAUUUAGAUAAUAUGCAAAAAGCAGUGUGUUUGUAAUGACCUGCUUUCACUGAAUAUAAUCAAGCUCCAAAGCUCUAUUACAGGCUGGAAAUAGCAGCAGCUUACUUUAAUGAGAUUUCUGGCUCUGGGCCCCAGCUGUUCUACGCAAGGCUCUCCCUUUGCUCUAUGACCUACCAAUAUGUGCUGUCACCAGUAAUGAGACAGGACCUAUUUCCUAACAUGGGGAAAAACUGGAAAGCACGAGUUCAUUCUGUUCUGAGGAAACACACCCUGUUCCCCCUGCAAGGCACGAGGAGAGGAACACUGGAUAUGCAACAUGCCCCCCUUGCCUCGCCAGCAGAAAUGUGCCAUGAAACCCAUCAGCUCAAGGAAGAAUUCUUAAAUGAAAGAAGAAAAGCACAUUUGCAAAGGUCACAUCGACGGAUUUUGAAGUGCAGUGUGUGAAAUAGAUGCAGCAAUCUGAUGUUUCUGCAGCGUGAGCAGCGUCAGCGUUUGAUGUUCGGGUGUUGAGUCACCGAGGGCUCACCUUUCCCUCCGGAUGACACCGUGACAGCUGCAACCAGCAGGUGCCUGAGAGCUGGCAGUGCUUUGAUUUUAAAAAGAGAGGGUUGCUGGCAAGGCAUUUUCACAAGGAGUUCCUUCUCAGCUCUGCAAGUCCUUUCACUUCUUCGCUCAAUGGGACCUUGAUUUGAUAACACUGGGAGUGUAUCACAAACGGCACAUCUGCUCUGCCAGGAUGAGCCGUGUGCCUGAGCUGCAGAGCUGCUUCCUGGGGAUCCCACUUGCUUUCAGAUUCAGUUUAUCUGUGAGCUUAUCCUACUAAAUUAUCAUUAGAAAUUCCACCUCUUGUGAGGCACAUGGCCUUUUGAGCACACCUGACAAAACAGAAGAUGUUCCCCUGUGCUGUGUUUCACUGAAAGGCUGAGCAAACCACAGACCUCAGGGUGACCUUAUCAAUCUCUACAGCUCCUGAAAGGUGGCUGUGGCCAGGUGGGGUUGGGCUCUUUCUCAGGCAGCACUGACAGAACCAGAGGACAAAGUCUCAAGCUGCACCAAGGGAAAUACAGGGUGGAUAUUAGGAAAAAGUUUUUUAUAGAAAGAGUGAUAAAUAUCUGGAAUGGCUGCCCGGGGAGAUGGUGGAGUCACCAUCCCUGGAUGUGUUUAAAAACAGACUGGAUGUGAUGCCAGGGUUUAGUUGAGAUGUUGGGGCUGGGUUGAACACCUCAACUUGAUGCUCUUGAAAGUCUCUUCCAACCUGGGUAUUCUGUGAAUUCUGUGGUUGUUCCUGACUAAGCAAAAGCAAGCACAUGGAUUUCUCUACACCAGUCCAGCCACACUCGGUUUUUCCCGUGACCUGAGUCACAGUCAAGCAUUUUAUUAUGUGACAUUCACAGCGAGAGUGGCAGAAUAAAAACAGGCUAAGAAACCUAAUCCUCA